AUCAGUGCCACAGUCCAAUGAGAGGUCCUUGACACACACACACACACACACACACACACACACACACACACACACACACACACACACACACACACACACACACACACACACACACACACACACACACACACACACACACACACACACACACACACACAGCUUGACACUGUACCAGCUGCAGACCGCAGUGGCCCUGGACUGCGCACUGAGUCUUGCCUUCUUCCUCCCUUCCGGAGAAUGUGUCCCGCCCAUCUGUCAGUCAUUGCUCAGUGGCCAGUGCCUCUCUCGCCUCUCUUCAUUUUGGCUCCUUUUUCCUCAUUACUUUGUGAAGCUGCGCAUCCAGGUUUUGGAGAGGGAAAUGAAAGGAGACAUGAGUUAUUUGUGGUGGCGCACAGCUGUAACCCCCGGCGCUUGAGAGGUGGAGGCACGAGGAUCACGAGUUGUAAAUUAUCCCCCGGGGUUACUUAGCAAGUUUGAGGCCGGCCUGGUCCUCCCUGUUGCAAAACAAGCUAAAAGGAAAUAGAAAGACACGAACCAGCUGAUGUGCGGAGUCGGGGACCCCUUCGGAUGAACCUCUAAAACUCGAAGGCCCAUUCUGGCCAUUGGAGGAGCCUCUAGAGGUGGGGACAGAGGCCCCCGAAGGAACAGAUCGACUGGAUCUAGGGAAGGAAUGGCUGCUGCCCACUGCGUCGGACAUUUCCAAGCCUCAGGCAGCAGCUGCGUGCGCUUGACGGGAUCCUGCUGACUGGCAAACCGACGAAACGGAGUCAAAAAUAGCCCAGACAUUCCUCAACACUGAGCAGACUGUAGCACGUCCCCAAGGCUCCUUCCCCAAAUUCAUAGACGUGUGCAACACCCGGGGCGGGGGAGUGAGAAGGGAUUAAAAGACCAGCCACACAGCAUCAUCAAACAGAUCUGCAGACAAACGCCAUGGGGCCAGAGAGAUGGCUCAGAGGUUAGCACUGACUGCUCCUGCAGAGGACUCUGGUUCGGUUCCCAGAACCCAUGCGGCAGCCCAGCAAUGUCUGUAUCUCCAGUUCCAGGGGAUCUGACACCCCCUUCUGACCUCCGUGAACACCACGCCCACACACAGAGCACAAGCAUACAUGCAGGCAAAACACCCAUAUGCGUAAGAUAA